GCCCUCCCUGUUUGGAGGAAAACCGCUACUUUCCAUCCAGACUGGGGAAAGGCCGGACCGGGACAAGACCACCGGCACGUACACUAAGUCUCUGCGGGCAGGAGGAGGUCCAGAGCGGCAGGGAGGAAGUUCGUUUCCUCGCAGACCCUCAGCCUCAUGUCCACCAGGGGGCGUUCAUGCAAAAGGACUGAGGAGUGAUGGUCACAUGGAUCCUCCAGGACGGUUACGGGACUUGGGUUCGGGAUGAGGACCAGUAGAGCAGCUUCAGCAUGACCACAUGGAGAAGACAUAGAAAGUCAGCGGUGUCUCCUCAGGGAGAGCUGACGGCGGGGUGUGUGCUGCUCCUUCUCCAUGGAGAUGGGUCCAUCCGCAGACUUCCGCCUCUCAUUCGAGGGUCUCCUCCCCUGACAUGCCGCUGCUUCCCCGCUGCUGCCAGGCCGACUCUGCUCUGACCUACGGGCUGUCUUCCAACAAAUGGAGACAUCGAUAUGAGUAAGUUUCCUCAGAGCAGGCGAGAGCUGUUAGAGGGCUUCAUGCUGUCUCAGAGAGAGCUUUCAGGUGCAGGCAGACUGAUUUCACUUCAAAGCAUGCACAUCCAGGAACGAGCUGCUUUCAUGCACCGUGGAUUUCAUGACUGACAUGCUGGGAGUGGAGUGAACAAGUGGAGGCUCCUCUGGGCAGUAUGAGCACAGAGAGGAAGGAGAGGCAUGCAUGCAAACCUGACUAAUUAAAGGAUUAAUUACCUCUUUGUGCAAACGGUGUGUACAGUGCAGCUCGUGAACUCCUCCUCCACUCAUCCUCACGUCUUCGUGACAGA